rnacentral:rRNA from 1 species
AUUGAACGCUGGCGGCAUGCCUUACACGUGCAAGUCGAACAGCAGCACGGAGCUUGCUCUGGUGGCGAGUGGCGAACGGGUGAGUAAUAUAUCGGAACGUACCCUGGAGUGGGGGAUAACGUAGCGAAAGUUACGCUAAUACCGCAUACGACAGAAGGAUGAAAGGGGGGGCUGGCAAGACCUCAUGCUCCCGGAGCGACCGAUAUCUGAUUAGCUAGUUGGUGGGGUAAAGGCCCACCAAGGCAUCGAUCAGUAGCUGGUCUGAGAGGACGACCAGCCACACUGGAACUGAGACACGGUCCAGACUCCUACGGGAGGCAGCAGUGGGGAAUUUUGGACAAUGGGGGCAACCCUGAUCCAGCAAUGCCGCGUGAGUGAAGAAGGCCUUCGGGUUGUAAAGCUCCUUUGUCAGGGAAGAAAAGGCUGCAGCUAAUAUCUGCGGCUCAUGACGGUACCUGAAGAAGAAGCACCGGCUAACUACGUGCCAGCCGCCGCGGUAA